ensembl:snRNA U6 U6 spliceosomal RNA
ACUGGUCAGUACUAUAAUUAGAAUGAUACAGAGAAUAUUAGCAGGGCCCCUGCACAAGGAUGACAAAUUCAUGAAGCAUUCCAUGUUUAA